UACGGGGGGGGCAAGCGUUGUUCGGAAUUACUGGGCGUAAAGGGCUCGUAGGCGGCCAACUAAGUCAGACGUGAAAUCCCUCAGCUUAACUGGGGAACUGCGUCUGAUACUGGAUGGCUUGAGUUUGGGAGAGGGAUGCGGAAUUCCAGGUGUAGCGGUGAAAUGCGUAGAUAUCGGGAGGAACACCAGUGGCGAAGGCGACUUCCUGGCCUGUUCUUGACGCUGAGGCGCGAAAGCUAGGGUAGCAAACGGG
rnacentral:rRNA from 1 species